AGACCCGAAACCCGGUGAUCUAGCCAUGGGCAGGUUGAAGGUUGGGUAACACUAACUGGAGGACCGAACCGACUAAUGUUGAAAAAUUAGCGGAUGACCUGUGGCUGGGGGUGAAAGGCCAAUCAAACCGGGAGAUAGCUGGUUCUCCCCGAAAGCUAUUUAGGUAGCGCCUCGUGAACUCAUCUCCGGGGGUAGAGCACUGUUUCGGCUAGGGGGCCAUCCCGGCUUACCAACCCGAUGCAAACUGCGAAUACCGGAGAAUGUUAUCACGGGAGACACACGGCGGGUGCUAACGUCCGUCGUGAAGAGGGAAACAACCCAGACCGCCAGCUAAGGUCCCAAAGUCAUGGUUAAGUGGGAAACGAUGUGGGAAGGCCCAGACAGCCAGGAUGUUGGCUUAGAAGCAGCCAUCAUUUAAAGAAAGCGUAAUAGCUCACUGGUCGAGUCGGCCUGCGCGGAAGAUGUAACGGGGCUAAACCAUGCACCGAAGCUGCGGCAGCGACACUUUAGUGUUGUUGGGUAGGGGAGCGUUCUGUAAGCCGUUGAAGGUGUCCUGUGAGGGGUGCUGGAGGUAUCAGAAGUGCGAAUGCUGACAUAAGUAACGAUAAAGCGGGUGAAAAGCCCGCUCGCCGGAAGACCAAGGGUUCCUGUCCAACGUUAAUCGGGGCAGGGUGAGUCGACCCCUAAGGCGAGGCCGAAAGGCGUAGUCGAUGGGAAACGGGUUAAUAUUCCCGUACUUGGUGUUACUGCGAAGGGGGGACGGAGAAGGCUAUGUUGGCCGGGCGACGGUUGUCCCGGUUUAAGCGUGUAGGUGUGUGUUCCAGGUAAAUCCGGUUCACUUUAACACUGAGGCGUGAUGACGAGGCACCACGGUGCUGAAGCAACAAAUGCCCUGCUUCCAGGAAAAGCCUCUAAGCAUCAGGUAACAUCAAAUCGUACCCCAAACCGACACAGGUGGUCAGGUAGAGAAUACCAAGGCGCUUGAGAGAACUCGGGUGAAGGAACUAGGCAAAAUGGUGCCGUAACUUCGGGAGAAGGCACGCUGACACGUAGGUGAAGUGAUUUACUCAUGGAGCUGAAGUCAGUCGAAGAUACCAGCUGGCUGCAACUGUUUAUUAAAAACACAGCACUGUGCAAACACGAAAGUGGACGUAUACGGUGUGACGCCUGCCCGGUGCCGGAAGGUUAAUUGAUGGGGUCAGCGCAAGCGAAGCUCCUGAUCGAAGCCCCGGUAAACGGCGGCCGUAACUAUAACGGUCCUAAGGUAGCGAAAUUCCUUGUCGGGUAAGUUCCGACCUGCACGAAUGGCGUAAUGAUGGCCAGGCUGUCUCCACCCGAGACUCAGUGAAAUUGAACUCGCUGUGAAGAUGCAGUGUACCCGCGGCAAGACGGAAAGACCCCGUGAACCUUUACUAUAGCUUGACACUGAACAUUGAGCCUUGAUGUGUAGGAUAGGUGGGAGGCUUUGAAGCGUGGACGCCAGUCUGCGUGGAGCCGACCUUGAAAUACCACCCUUUAAUGUUUGAUGUUCUAACGUGGACCCGUAAUCCGGGUUGCGGACAGUGUCUGGUGGGUAGUUUGACUGGGGCGGUCUCCUCCUAAAGAGUAACGGAGGAGCACGAAGGUUGGCUAAUCCUGGUCGGACAUCAGGAGGUUAGUGCAAUGGCAUAAGCCAGCUUGACUGCGAGCGUGACGGCGCGAGCAGGUGCGAAAGCAGGUCAUAGUGAUCCGGUGGUUCUGAAUGGAAGGGCCAUCGCUCAACGGAUAAAAGGUACUCCGGGGAUAACAGGCUGAUACCGCCCAAGAGUUCAUAUCGACGGCGGUGUUUGGCACCUCGAUGUCGGCUCAUCACAUCCUGGGGCUGAAGUAGGUCCCAAGGGUAUGGCUGUUCGCCAUUUAAAGUGGUACGCGAGCUGGGUUUAGAACGUCGUGAGACAGUUCGGUCCCUA
rnacentral:rRNA from 1 species